AAUAAGAAAGAAGAGAUUAAAAUUUCUAUUUAACGUGCGGUUAAAUUUGUAAUUCGUUUUUAUUUGAAAAUGUCAUUAAGAAAUUUCUCAUUCGGCUUUCUGCAGCAAUGUCGAAGCAAUGUUUUAAAUGCUUUACUUAUUAAUAAAUUGCAUACAAGUAGCGUUUUGCGAAAAGUGGAAGAUCGCAAGGAAAUGCUGGCUUCGCUACCAGCCAAAGAUGAAGGAACAGCUGGUGAAAAAUCUAUUGACAUCGAUACUCUAAUGGGAAAAAAAGAAAAAUUCUUCCCCGAUGCCAAUACUCCUACUCAAUUAUUUAAUGGUAUGCCAUUCAAUGAAUUACCAAUUUGUAACAUACGUGUAUCUCCAAACAACACCAUUAUACUAUUCACUGAUUAUAAAGGUGUGCCUCGUAUAAUACGCUCCUGCGGAAUUGAAGGCUUUAAAAACACUCGCAAAGGCACUAAUAUUGCUGCCCAAGCAACAGCCAUUACAAUUGGAGGUAAAGCUAUUGAGUUAGGUUGGAAAACAAUACGCGUUAAAGUUCGAGGUUUGGGACCGGGUAGAAUGUCUGCUAUUAAAGGCUUGCAAAUGAGCGGUUUAAAUAUUGUAUCUAUAACUGAUAAUACUCCCGUGUCGUGGAAUCCACCUCGACCGAGGAAGCAAAGGAGUUUGUAAAAUAAAUUAGAAAAUAUGACUUAUAAAACUUGCAGGAACAAAGAUUAUAACGAAAAUAUAUGAAAAAAAAGAAACUCUAAGCUAAAGAAUGUUCUCGUCAAUCGUUAAAAGAAGAAUAUAUAUUCUGGUUAAUAGAGUGAAUGUGAAUUUCUGAGUCGCCAGAGGAUCAAGCUAAAUUGCCACAGAAUUUCAAGUUGAUUACGUAUGUAGAAGAUAUAGAUUUGUGAAUUAAAAUUGGAGCAAUUAAUUGUAACUUUAACGUUAAACAGUCAGUAUAAUAAACAAAUAAAUUGCGCUCAUAUAAAGUAAUGAACGAAUUAUCCAAAAUUUAAGGAAAGGCAAUGGAAAUUUUCUUAGGCUUAAGUUAUUCGCAUUAUUCCUGUGAUGUACGAAAAGCAAAGAAUUAUACUUACCUUACUUUGCCGGUUUUUCACACUGCAAAGAAGCAAAAUAU